rnacentral:rRNA from 1 species
GCGUUGUUCGGAAUUACUGGGCGUAAAGGGCGCGUAGGCGGUGUACUAAGUUAGGCGUGAAAGCCCUGGGCUCAACCCGGGAAUUGCGCUUGAUACUGGUACGCUAGAAUCCAGGAGAGGUUGGUGGAAUUCCCAGUGUAGAGGUGAAAUUCGUAGAGAUUGGGAAGAACACCGGUGGCGAAGGCGGCCAACUGGACUGGUAUUGACGCUGAGGCGCGAAAGCGUG